rnacentral:rRNA from 1 species
UACGUAGGGGGCAAGCGUUGUCCGGAUUUAUUGGGCGUAAAGAGCGUGUAGGCGGCCAUACAGGUCAGCUGUGAAAACUCGAGGCUCAACCUCGAGACGUCGGUUGAAACCGUAUGGCUAGAGUCCGGAAGGGGCGAGUGGAAUUCCUGGUGUAGCGGUGAAAUGCGCAGAUAUCAGGAGGAACACCAAUGGCGAAGGCAGCUCGCUGGGACGUGACUGACACUGAGACGCGAAAGCGUGGGGAGCAAACAGG